GAGAGAAAAAUCACCUGAACGUGGCAGGAUUCACCCAGCCAGAAUCACCUGACUGAGUUGGGGCCACAGGAAGGGUGAGCCCACAUGCGAAGCCGAGCAGAAAUGAGAGGCAGGGGGACAGAGAGAGGGUCCUGGCAUACUUGGGACCAGCGUCGAUCUCUCAACCCAGGUUCCUAGAGCUCCUUCUUCAGUUCCACGAGCUGUCCCGGGCCACCCUGCAAAGGGGUGGAUUCCAAAACAUGGGAGAGUGCAGUGGAUGAUCGGCAGCUAUGAGUCCAGGGAAGCAGGAGCCUUAGACCCACAAGGUCUGAGAGAUAGAGAAACAACUCUGCGACUUGUCUCUGCCAUCAGAAGCUGUUCAGCUAGGCAUUUCCUGAAGUUUCCAACGUGAGCGAUGCGACCACGGGAGAGCAGUCACACACAAAAUGGAAAGGGCGGGCUCAGGGGGAGAAGGCAUUUUCCUCCAGGUCUGUGCUGCCGGCCUGAGAGCGGCUGUUUGCUGAGAUCUUAGACCUCGCAGCCUUUGACUUUCCCCGGAACACUUGCUUAAAUACGGCUUUUGGCUAAUGAGUUCCCAUUUGGCUGAUAGUAUCUGGACAGAGAAGGGCCGAAUGUGG